GUGGGGAAUAUUGCACAAUGGGCGAAAGCCUGAUGCAGCAACGCCGCGUGAGUGAUGAAGGUCUUCGGAUUGUAAAGCUCUGUCUUUUGGGACGAUAAUGACGGUACCAAAGGAGGAAGCCACGGCUAACUACGUGCCAGCAGCCGCGGUAAUACGUAGGUGGCGAGCGUUGUCCGGAUUUACUGGCGUAAAGGGUGCGUAGGCGGAUGUUUAAGUGAGAUGCGAAAUACCCGGGCUUAACUUGGGUGCUGCAUUUCAAACUGGAUAUCUAGAGUGCAGGAGAGGAGAAUGGAAUUCCUAGUGUAGCGGUGAAAUGCGUAGAGAUUAGGAAGAACACCAGUGGCGAAGGCGAUUCUCUGGACUGUAACUGACGCUGAGGCACGAAAGCGUGGGUAGCAAACAGGAUUAGAUACCCUGGUAGUCCACGCCGUAAACGAUGAGUACUAGGUGUAGGAGGUAUCGACCCUUCUGUGCCGCAGUAAACACAUUAAGUACUCCGCCUGGGAAGUACGAUCGCAAGAUUAAAACUCUAAAGUGAAUU
rnacentral:rRNA from 1 species